AAAACUAGUUUAAGUGUUAAAAUUUUAAAACGUCGGAAACUAACCGUGCCUAGGCAUCCCGUCCUUAAUUGGUCCGUAAGUCUUGCGGCGUUCGAAGUUCGGCAAUGUUUUCACGUAAUAUUGAUUUAACACUUAAACUUAUUUUGAAGAAAUAAUAAUGAUUUUCACUAAAAAACAAUUAAAACUUCAACUUUAAGAAAAUAGUUAAUAAUUUUUAACUAUAACCACAUUAAUUUCAUUAUUACUUUAUAAAAAUUAGUUUAAGUAUUAAAUUUUUAAAACAUCGGAAACUAACCGCGCAUAUGCAUCCCGUUCUUAGUUGGUCUGUAAGUCUUGCGGUGUUCGAAAUUCGACAAUGUUUUCACAUAAUAUUGAUUUGACACUUAAACUCAUUUUUAUCACUAAAAAAUUUAAAAUUUAAACUUUAAGAAAAUAGUUAAUAAUUUUUAACUAAAACCAUGUUAAUUUCACUAUUACUAUUAAAAAUUAAUUUAAGUGUUAAAAUUUAAAAACUUUGGAAACUAACCGCACCUAAACAUCCUGUCAUUAAUUGGUCUGUAAGUUUUGCGGUAUUCGAAGUUCGUUAAUAUUUUCACAUAAUAUAGAUUUGACACUUAAACUCAAUUUUUUUUUCCAAUGAGUUUAAGUGUUAAAAUUUUAAAACGUCAAAAUUUAACCGCGCCUACGCAUCCCGUCCUUAAGGAAAAUAAUUUCUAAUUUUUAACUAAAACCAUGUUCAUUUCACUAUUACUUUUAAAAAUUAGUUUAAGUGUUAAAAUUUGAAAAUGCCGGAAACUAACAGCGCCUACGCUGCCUAGGCAUCCAAUCCUUAAUUGAUCUGUAAAUUUUGAUGUGUUCGUAGUUCGGCAAUGUUUUCACAUAAUAUAGAUUUGACACUUAAACUAUUAAAAAAAUAAUUAUGAUUUUCAC
rnacentral:sRNA from 1 species